rnacentral:rRNA from 1 species
GAUGAACGCUGGCGGCGUGCCUAAUACAUGCAAGUCGAGCGAACAGAUGAGGAGCUUGCUCCUCUGACGUUAGCGGCGGACGGGUGAGUAACACGUGGAUAACCUACCUAUAAGACUGGGAUAACUUCGGGAAACCGGAGCUAAUACCGGAUAAUAUAUUGAACCGCAUGGUUCAAUAGUGAAAGACGGUUUUGCUGUCACUUAUAGAUGGAUCCGCGCCGCAUUAGCUGGUUGGUAAGGUAACGGCUUACCAAGGCAACGAUGCGUAGCCGACCUGAGAGGGUGAUCGGCCACACUGGAACUGAGACACGGUACAGACUCCUACGGGAGGCAGCAGUAGGGAAUCUUCCGCAAUGGGCGAAAGCCUGACGGAGCACCGCCGCGUGAGUGAUGAAGGUCUUCGGAUCGUAAAACUCUGUUAUUAGGGAAGAAAAAAUGUGUAAGUAACUAUGCAUGUCUUGACGGUACCUAAUCAGAAAGCCACGGCUAACUACGU